rnacentral:lncRNA from 1 species
ACUGGAACAUGGAUGGAUGAUCCGUGGAGUCUUCCUUGGUUGAUACCCGCAGGCAGAGGGGAGAAGUGAGAGGGACAAUGGAACACCAUGUCCAGGAGUGGCCUGAGGUUUGCCUGCCUCAGUUAACUCUGAUCUCCAUGAGGACAGAAUCUGUCUUGAAGUCUUUGACCCCCGGGCGCUAGCCUUCAGCACUUGGGACGGCUUCUCAUCAUCACCAGGAUUGUGUCAGGGAGCAGCCAUCACUGCUGGAGUUUGAAGGGACCGAUAAGCAUACAAAGCAGAGAGACAGACGAAGUAAUGGGUCAGCCAAAAUGUGAAUGGAAGCCGAAUUGGAGAACAAGACUCCAAGGAGCAGCAACCCAGGGUCUCCGGAUGCUCUUGCCUCCAAGUUGGUCCUACAGGAGCCCCCUCAACAGAUAUUCGGGGUCUUCAGAAUGGAUGCUGACAUCCCUUCACUUAUCCAGACAAGGUCUCUCUCAUGGCAUAAACUAUGAAAACGGUAGAUAGCUAUUCCCCUGUGGGGAAUGAAGGUGGGAGCUCUCAUGGCAGGCAAACCAGAUCAAACCUCCACCAUAAGUAGCAGUGUCUGGAGAAAAUGUAACCGAGAAAGAGAGAGACUGUACAGAAGAUGACCUGUGUAAUAAAUUGCUGUGGCUUGAUACCCAGGAUAAGGAAUCACAAAUGUCGAUAAUCUAUUCGUGAAAGAGAAGAGGAACUAAUGUAAAUUGAGAAGUUUAGGUAAAAACUCCAAGUCUGGAAUUCGAAUCAAACCCAUUGAUGGGGAAGCUGGCUCAGAGAGACCCCAAGGUCACAGAAGGACUAAGUAGCAGGGCUGGAGUUUGAGCCCAGCGGCCUGACUCUUGAGCCUGAGUCUUUAAGGAAACACUUAGGACCAAGCCAGGCUGCUUCAAAGAACAGAGGAAGGACAGCUGGAGAAGAGGUCACAGGCACAGCGAGGUUGAACACACAAGUUAAUGUUAAACAGCUAUUAAGUGACAGAGAUGGAUUUGAGGCUAAGGUUUGCUCCUCAGAAACUCCGAUGUAUCUGCCUGGCUUUCUUGUCCAUGGAUGGGUUUUCCUAUUAGCACUCGCUCUUCAGCACCUAGACUCUGCGGUCUGUGGACAGAGAGGCGAUGUAUUGACUGAACGCCCCAGGAACUAGGCGAAUAACAAUAAGUGUCCCCAAAGAUGUGGAUAUCGGGUUCCCUCGCAUCAUGUUUAAAUUCUACCCCAAACUGGAAAAUGGCCAGUGUCCUUGGCCCCAGAGACCUGUCUCCUUCCGUUCCCUGCCCUCUCUGCUCCCCAGGUAAAUGCAUUGAGCUCCUCUCCUUCCUCUCUGACGAGGUCCCAGCAGAGCCAGCCUGAGGGGGGGUUGGGGGAGGAGAGAAAGGUGACCCUUAGCCACAGUGGCAGCUUCACCUGCCAGUGGUUUCGUGUUUCCUACACGGAGCUGAGGUUCAGGUUCACUGUCUCAUUUACUCCUGAGGGGAGGAUUAUUGUCUGCACUUUACAGGGACAACACCGAGGCCGAGAAAGUAUUACCAGCCCAGAGCUAACAAACUACAGCUCCGGUGGAGGAAAGCCGGGAUUUCUUCCCGUUCACAUCUGUUUGACUUCCAAACCUGCUUCUCUUUCUUUCUCAUUCUCAUUAUUGCUGUUGUGAGGAGGAGGAGGAGGAGGAAUGCUGCCUAAGAGUCAGCUCUUUGUAGUGGAACUUGUGCAUGCCUCAAGCUAGAAAGAAAAUCAAAAGGAUGCAACGUGUUUCCGUGUCAGUGCAAACAUAUUUGGGGGGAGAGGCUGGUCCUUGGUUGCCUUCUUUCACCAGUACUUGGAAAGUCUCAACUGAAGAAAGAAUAUGGGGAGUUCCUGUUGUGGCUCAGUGGGUUAAGAACCCCGCUGGGGAUGCGGGCUCGAUCCCUGGCCCCUCUCAGUGGGUUAAGGAUCUGUCAUUGCUACAAGCUUCAGCAAAGAUCACAGAUGUGGCUCAGAUCCAGCAUUGUUGUGGCUGUGGCUGUGGCCAGCAGCUGUAACUCCAAUUCGACCUCUAGCCCAGGAGCUUCCAUAUGCUGCAAGUGCAGCCCUACAAAGAAAAAA